rnacentral:rRNA from 1 species
UCGAUGCCUAAACAUCAAACGACCCGCGAACGCGUUUACAAACAAACUGUCCGCGCCGGGGGGCGGGGGGUGGCAUGCUCUCUGCCUGUCCCCCUCCCCCCCUCGACGCGCCUACAACCAAACCCCGGCGCAGGUCGCGCCAAGGAACUUGAAAUGAAUCUGCCUGCCCCCUGCCCCGGCCUCGGCGCGCGGGGGGCGGAGCGUUCUUGUCGUAUUACUCACAACGACUCUCGGCAACGGAUAUCGCGGCUCUCGCAUCUAUGAGGAAGGUAGCGAAAUGCUAUACUUGGAGUGAAGUGGAGGAUCCUGUGAACCACAGAGUCUUUGAUCGCGGGAUGCGCGCAGAUCCUUCUGGCCGAUGGUGCGUCUGCCUGGGCGUCACGGGGAGCUUCCCCCCCUCCCAAACUCGUUGGUCCUCACUGCUGGCAUCCUUUUGUUCAAACGUCCGCUCCGUCGCGCGGAUGGCUUAAAUUCGACUCCUCGGCGCCCGUCGUCGCGACACUCCGGUGGUUGAGCCAACCUCGGUACCGCCUGCCGGCCUCGACGUCCGCCCCUCUUGGGCUGCUAUGCCGACCCUCUCAACGCCUGUACUCGAAGCACCUCAACGUCAACAACAGUCGGGUGAGGCCCGACUACACGCGGAGUUUAAGCA